rnacentral:rRNA from 1 species
AGAGUUUGAUCAUGGCUCAGAUUGAACGCUGGCGGUAUGCUUAACACAUGCAAGUCGAACGGUAGCAGGCCUUCGGGCGCUGACGAGUGGCGGACGGGUGAGUAACGCGUAGGAAUCUGCCUGUUAGUGGGGGACAACGUGGGGAAACUCACGCUAAUACCGCAUACGCCCUACGGGGGAAAGGAGGGGAUCUUCGGACCUUUCGCUAACAGAUGAGCCUGCGUUAGAUUAGCUAGUUGGUAGGGUAAAGGCCUACCAAGGCGACGAUCUAUAGCUGGUCUGAGAGGACGAUCAGCCACACUGGGACUGAGACACGGCCCAGACUCCUACGUGAGGCAGCAGUGGGGAAUAUUGGACAAUGGGCGCAAGCCUGAUCCAGCAAUACCGCGUGUGUGAAGAAGGCCCUAGGGUUGUAAAGCACUUUCAAUGGGGAGGAAAACCUGCCGGUCAAUACCCGGUAGCUUGACAUUACCUAUAGAAGAAGCACCGGCUAACUCCGUGCCAGCAGCCGCGGUAAUACGGAGGGUGCAAGCGUUAAUCGGAAUUACUGGGCGUAAAGCGUGCGUAGGCGGCUCGUUAAGUCAGAUGUGAGAGCCCUGGGCUCAACCUGGGAACUGCAUUUGAAACUGGCGAGCUAGAGUUGAGUAGAGGGGAGUGGAAUUUCAGGUGUAGCGGUGAAAUGCGUAGAUAUCUGAAGGAACACCAGUGGCGAAGGCGACUCCCUGGACUCAAACUGACGCUGAGGUACGAAAGCGUGGGUAGCAAACAGGAUUAGAUACCCUGGUAGUCCACGCCGUAAACGAUGUCAACUAGCCGUUGGUCCUAUUUACAGGAUUAGUGGCGCAGCUAUCGCAUUAAGUUGACCGCCUGGGGAGUACGGCCGCAAGGUUAAAACUCAAAUGAAUUGACGGGGGCCCGCACAAGCGGUGGAGCAUGUGGUUUAAUUCGAUGCAACGCGAAGAACCUUACCUACCCUUGACAUCCAGAGAAUCUGUUAGAGAUAGUGGAGUGCCUUCGGGAGCUCUGAGACAGGUGCUGCAUGGCUGUCGUCAGCUCGUGUCGUGAGAUGUUGGGUUAAGUCCCGUAACGAGCGCAACCCUUAUCCUUAGUUGCCAGCGCGUCAUGGCGGGAACUCUAGAGCGACAGGCAAGUAGGCAGAAUAAGAUUUCAAUCCGAUCUUCAUCUUUGCCCCCCUAGAUC